CUGUGACUUCUGUCCUGCUGGAGCUCUCUUUUUCUCUCGGGCUCUCUCACUUGCCUGCUCUAAUAAAACCAGCUGCCAUGUUGUGAGCUGCCUUAUGGGAAGCCCGUGCAACAAGGAACUGAGGCCCUCAGCCCAACAGCCAUGAAACACACUGCUUACCAUGAACCAUGACUCCAGAAGGCUGUUGAUAUCGCAGCUGUAUUACCUACACCCUCACCCGAACGCCCCAUCGGACUUGAUCCUGACCUCGCGGCUGAAGCACCACCUCAUUCUGUCUGUUGAAGGCAUCUGUCCCUUGCUAGCGUGGACAUGUUCUCAUUGCUGAUGGCAGAGCAUGAGAAGUCAGGUUCUGAUGUGAAAGCCCACUUCAAGCCUGCUGGCAUCCCAUUGGCCAAGGCAGGAGCUGGGUUUUGGAACAAGCCCUGGCUGCAGAAUCAGGAGACCUGGGUUGCUAUCAUUUGACUUUGGGAAACCUCUUUGGGCUUCAGUUCCUUCAGCUCUAGAAUGGGGCUAAUAAGCUUCAGAGCCUGGUCUGUGAAUCGAAUAAGCUCCUGUUAAGUCCAGCUUUGUGGCAGCCUGUCUCCAACAAACAUAAGAGGAAGUGAGACAACAUUGAACUUGGAGCCACAAGAACCACUGCAUCAUGAACCACAUACUGCAUAUCCACAUCAUGACAGUGUUUAACAUGCAUUGUAUCUAAUCUAAGCUUCAUAACAACCCUGCAAAUAGGGAGCUGCACCCCCAUUUUACACAUGAGGACAGACACACUGUUGGAAGGGGUAGAAGUAACAGAAUUGAAAACCAAGUUCUGUCUGUUUCCCAGCUUUGCCACCUACAAAUUGUGUAAACUUGGGCCAAUUGCUUAACCUCUCUGCUCUUCAGUUCCCUUAUCUGUAAAAUGGGAAGAAUAAUACCUUCGUCACAGGGAUUUUGUGAGAGGUAAUGAAAUAACCUUCAUAGCAUUUGUUUUUCUGUGGAUUCCUUGAAGGCAGGGCCAGGCCUGAGGUGUGGUGGAUGUUUACUAUGUGUUUGCUGAAGUAAUUGGUGAAUGACUUAACGAUUGAAAGAAUGAACAAAUGCUUGUAAAGUGCUCCCUCAGCUUUGAGCACAGGGUAGGAACUCUCUAAAUGUUAGUUCCUUUCUAUUUUCCUCUUCAUUCCACCCCAGCCCUUUCUGGCAUGAAUUCCCAUCCAACCAUUGCCAGAAUGGUAGAGAAGCUGUCAGUCCCUUCUGUUCCCAAAGGAAGGAAAAUGUGCCCCUUGCAGUUUGGGGAGUUUGGGCAUGGGAAGGAGGCAAGCCCGGGCUGGUGCUCCCUCUGCCCCUGAACUCAUUGUCAGGCCCGGGGAAAGGCUGUGCAAACCAGUAACCUGGGUGGUGGCCACACUGGGGUCUUUUCCAGGGUGCCUAGAGAGUGAGCUCCAAGGGUUGGACCUGCAACCCCAGAGUUCUCCCACAAAGUAACCCUAUACAAAUGGGGUUUGUUAGGGGAUCCAGGGAGGACUGUGAAACACCCACCUCUGGGGGAAAAGGCAGUAGGGCCUUAGAGCAUGUGUGUCCCUGUCCCUCACACUGAAUCUUGGAAUCCAAGCUUGUGAGGGACCUUGCAUAUCAUUAACGCACGCUUCAGAAGGUUGAUUCCUGUCCAAGGAACUGGUCCAAGGCUUGACACCACUAAGGAUGGGGGACUUACUACUUCCUGAGCAUGGCCAUUCACUGCUCAUGCUGGUGGGAUGGGCAAGAAAGACCAUUCCUGCAUUUCGGGAAUCCAGGGGUGCCUGAGCCAAGCUGAGAGAGCAGUGGCUGCAUAGUUGAAGGCUCCACGGCCAAUGCUUUU